UCGGGAAUAUUGCACAAUGGAGGAAACUCUGAUGCAGUGACACCGCGUAUAGGAAGAAGGUUUUCGGAUUGUAAACUAUUUUAGACAGGGAAGAAAAAAGACAGUACCUGUAGAAUAAGCUCCGGCUAACUACGUGCCAGCAGCCGCGGUAAUACGUAGGGAGCAAGCGUUAUCCGGAAUUAUUGGGUGUAAAGGGUGCGUAGACGGGACAGCAAGUUAGUUGUGAAAGCCCUCGGCUUAACUGAGGAACUGCAACUAAAACUAUUGUUCUUGAGUGCAGGAGAGGAAAGCGGAAUUCCUAGU
rnacentral:rRNA from 1 species